CGUAGGUGGCUAAGCGUUGUCCGGAAUUAUUGGGCGUAAAGCGCGCGCAGGCGGAAUUUUAAGUCUAUCUUAAAAGUGCGGGGCUCAACCCCGUGAUGGGAUAGAAACUGGAUUUCUUGAGUGUCGGAGAGGACAGUGGAAUUCCCAGUGUAGCGGUGAAAUGCGUAGAUAUUGGGAGGAACACCAGUGGCGAAGGCGACUGUCUGGACGAUGUCUGACGCUGAGGCGCGAAAGCCAGGGUAGUGAACGGGAUUAGAUACCCCGGUAAUCCUGGCCGUAAACGAUGGGUACUAGGUGUUGGGGGUAUCGACCCCUCCAGUGCCGGAGUUAACGCAAUAAGUACCCCGCCUGGGGAGUACGGCCGCAAGGUUG
rnacentral:rRNA from 1 species